rnacentral:rRNA from 1 species
UGUUUGAAGAAAAAUAAAAUUCUAGAUAAUUUCUGCUCACUGAGUAAUUAAAUAUGACUCCACUAUAUUAACUGUGCUCAGGUAGCAUAAUAAAUUGCUUUAUAAUUAAAAGCGCUGAGAGAAGGAAAAUUAGUGUGAAACAAGUUUUUUAACCUAAAAGAUAGUGAUUAUUAAUUUUUAAGUGAAAAAUCUUAAAAAGAAAACAAACGACAAGACGACCCUUUAGAACUUUUUUACAGACAAACUUAAUCUCAAACGGUUUUUUUGUUGUUGGGGGGACAUUUUUAAACAAAUAACUCAUUUUAUAACCCAAAAAAAUUAUUGUGAUAAAAUUAAAUCACCCAAUGUGAGAAAAAAGAACAAGUUACCUAAGGGAUAACAGCGCAAAAUUUUGAGAAGUAUCUUAUUUACAAAAUGUAUUGCGACCUCGAUGUUGGAUUAGGAACAAUGCAAAAAGAAAAGUGAUUGAAAUUGAGUCGGUUCGAC